rnacentral:rRNA from 1 species
CACUUCUAAGGAAGGCAGCAGGCGCGCAAAUUACCCAAUCCUGACUCAGGGAGGUAGUGACAAGAAAUAACAAUAAACCGGCUUAUGCCGGUUUAAUUGGAAUGAGUACAAUUUAAACACCUUAACGAGGAACAAUUGGAGGGCAAGUCUGGUGCCAGCAGCCGCGGUAAUUCCAGCUCCAAUAGCGUAUACUAAAGUUGUUGCAGUUAAAAAGCCCGUAGUUGGAUUUCUGUGGGGACGGAGCGGCCGGCCGCAACACGCGGUUCGAGCUAGCGCUUUCCCUACAUCCUGCCGCGAACCGUGCUACCAUUAGUUUGGUGGCGCCGGGGAUCGGCUCGAUUACUUUGAGAAAAAUAGAGUGUUCAAAGCAGGCCACACGCCUUGAAUAAGUUAGCAUGGAAUAAUAACUAAGGACUUCGGUUCUAUUUUGUUGGUGUUCGGGACUGAAGUAAUGAUUGAUAGGGACAGUUGGGGCGGUCUGUAUUCCAAAGCGAGAGGUGAAAUUCUUAGACCUUCGGAAGACAAACAGCUGCGAAAGCGUUCCGCAAGGAUGUUCCCUUUGAUCAAGAACGAAAGUUGGGGGAUCGAAGACGAUCAGAUACCGUCGUAGUCUCAACUAUAAACUAUACCAGCUAGGGAUCGGCCAACGUUAUUCUAUACCGACUUGGUCGGCACCUUAUGAGAAAUCAAAGCAUCUGGGUUCCGGGGGGAGUAUGGUCGCAAGGCUGAAACUUAAAGGAAUUGACGGAAGGGCACCACCAGCCGUGGAGCCUGUGGCUUAAUUUGACUCAACACGGGAAAACUUACCAGGUCCAGACAUAGUUAGGAUUGACAGAUUGAUAGCUCUUUCUUGAUUCUGUGGGUGGUGGUGCAUGGCCGUUCUUAGUUGGUGGAGUGAUUUGUCUGGUUAAUUCCGUUAACGAACGAGACCCCAGCCUGCUAAAUAGCGCGCGUGAGCUUUGCUCGCGGCGAGCUUCUUAGAGGGACUAUGAUGCGCGAUAGCACAUGGAAGUUUGGGGCAAUAACAGGUCUGUGAUGCCCUUAGAUGUUCUGGGCCGCACACGGGCUACACUGGCGCCUGCAACGAGCAUAUCAGCUGGCCCGAGAGGGUCUUGGCUAAUCUUUUGAACCGGCGCCGUGCUUGGGAUUGACCUUUGCAAUUGUUGGUCAUGCAACGAGGAAUGCCUUGUAAACGCGAGUCAUCAGCUCGCAUUGAAUACGUCCCUGCCCUUUGUACACACCGCCCGUCGCUCCUACCGAUGAAUGUUCCGAUGAAAUUUUCGGAGAGCACCUGUGAACUUGGCUCUGCCUUGCGAACGGGAGGCUCAAAGUCACUUAAAUCUGAACAUUUCGAGG